ensembl:lncRNA
ACCCGGUUUAGAAACUCCUCUCCGCCCCGCUCAGACGGGACGCGGAGCUGGAUCUGCUGCCCGCGGCCCCGAGCUGCGGCCUGCAGCCCUGCUGUUCUCCCCUCCAUGUCUCCAGGCCAACCCCAAUCCCGCGUCCCAGAUGGAUCGUAUGGGUGUGUGUUUAUGUGGCAGACAUUGUGAGACUUCAUCUCCAAAGAUUUUUGCAUGCAGAACCUAAGACGAGGCUGUUCUCCCCCUCGGCCGCAGCACGUUCUUACCCUUCAGACCCACUCGUGGACUUCGCCUUCCCAAGAUGCC